AGUGAACGCUGGCGGCGUGCUUAAUACAUGCAAGUCGAACGAUGAAGUCCUAGCUUGCUAGGAUGGAUUAGUGGCGCACGGGUGAGUAAUAUAUAGUUAAUCUGCCUUGCACUGAGGAACAACAGUUGGAAACGAUUGCUAAUACCUCAUACUCCAACUUUACAUAAGUUAAGUUGGGAAAGUCUUUUCGGUGCAAGAUGAGACUAUAUCGUAUCAGCUAGUUGGUAAGGUAAUGGCUUACCAAGGCUAUGACGCGUAACUGGUCUGAGAGGAUGAUCGGUCACAUUGGAACUGAGACACGGUCCAAACUCCUACGGGAGGCAGCAGUAAGGAAUAUUGUGCAAUGGGGGAAACCCUGACGCAGCAACGCCGCGUGGAGGAUGACACUUUUCGGAGCGUAAACUCCUUUUGUUAGGGAAGAAUAAUGACGGUACCUAACGAAUAAGCACCGGCUAACUCCGUG
rnacentral:rRNA from 1 species